GAUGAACGCUGGCGGCGUGCCUAAUACAUGCAAGUCGAGCGAACGGACGAGAAGCUUGCUUCUCUGAUGUUAGCGGCGGACGGGUGGGUAACACGUGGAUAACCUACCUAUAAGACUGGGAUAACUUCGGGAAACCGUAGCUAAUACCGGAUAAUAUUUUGAACCGCAUGGUUCAAAAGUGAAAGACGGUCUUGCUGUCACUUAUAGAUGGAUCCGCGCUGCAUUGGCUAGUUGGUAAGGUAACGGCUUACCAAGGCAACGAUGCAUAGCCGACCUGAGAGGGUGAUCGGCCACACUGGAACUGAGACACGGUCCAGACUCCUACGGGAGGCAGCAGUAGGGAAUCUUCCGCAAUGGGCGAAAGCCUGACGGAGCAACGCCGCGUGAGUGAUGAAGGUCUUCGGAUCGUAAAACUCUGUUAUUAGGGAAGAACAUAUGUGUAAGUAACUGUGCACAUCUUGACGGUACCUAAUCAGAAAGCCACGGCUAACUACGUG
rnacentral:rRNA from 1 species